CAGCCGCCGCGGUAAUACCGGUGGCUCGAGUGGUGGCCGCUAUUAUUGGGUCUAAAGGGUCCGUAGCCGGCUUGAUAAGUUACCUGGGAAAUCCGGUGGCCUAACCAUCGGGCGGCCGGGUAAUACUAUCGAGCUUGGGACUAGGAGAGACCAGAGGUACUCAUGAGGUAGGGGUGAAAUCCUGUAAUCUUAUGAGGACCACCAGUGGCGAAGGCGUCUGGUUAGAAUAGGUCCGACGGUGAGGGACGAAGGCUGGGGGCGCAAACCGGAUUAGAUACCCGGGUAGUCCCAGCAGUAAACGAUGCCAGCUAUGUGUUGCUGAAACCAUGGGUUCCAGCAGUGCCGAAGGGAAGCCGUGAAGCUGGCCACCUGGGAAGUACGGUCGCAAGGCUGAAACUUAAAGGAAUUGGCGGG
rnacentral:rRNA from 1 species